UACGAAGGGGGCUAGCGUUGCUCGGAAUCACUGGGCGUAAAGCGCACGUAGGCGGGUUCUUAAGUCGGUGGUGAAAUCCUGGAGCUCAACUCCAGAACUGCCUCCGAUACUGAGAGCCUCGAGUCCGGGAGAGGUGAGUGGAACUGCGAGUGUAGAGGUGAAAUUCGUAGAUAUUCGCAAGAACACCAGUGGCGAAGGCGGCUCACUGGCCCGAUACUGACGCUGAGGCACGAAAGCGUGGGGGAGCAAACAGG
rnacentral:rRNA from 1 species